AACCCAAGGUGUGGGCACUUUCUCAAUAAACCCUUGUAUCUCUCCCAUGCAUCAUAUAACGUCUCUAAAUCAACCUGUACGAAGGAAAAGAUAUCAUUCCUCAACUU
rfam:Gossypium raimondii Chr09_contig_1478, whole genome shotgun sequence.